UACGUAGGAGGCAAGCGUUGUCCGGAAUUACUGGGCGUAAAGCGCGUGUAGGUGGUGGGACAGGUCUGCUGUGAAAGCGCCUGGCUUAACCGGGCGAGGUCGGCGGAAACUGUCCGACUAGAGGACGGUAGAGGGGGGUGGAAUUCCCGGUGUAGUGGUGAAAUGCGUAGAGAUCGGGAGGAACACCUGUGGCGAAGGCGGCCCCCUGGGCCGGCCCUGACACUGAGACGCGAAGGCGUGGGGAGCGAACGGG
rnacentral:rRNA from 1 species